UUUAGGCCUUAGCAUAACAUUAAAAUAGAGACUAUCUGAUGUUAAAAUGUUUUUAUUCAUGUAACUAACUCAGAGAAUGGUGUAAAAUAAUUAGGUGAUUCACUGCACUUGU